ACACGGAUACGUUCCAUUCGAGGGAAGAUAGCAACAAGAUGCUUAAUGCGGAUUACUAGACUACUAUUAGAGCCUGUGCAAGGCUUAAUGGACUACAAAUGUAGUACGGGUAGGGGUGUGCUGAUAGCCCACCUCACACUCAAUCCAUACCCGAAAGGGUACAACAACAAGCUGGUGAACUGAAAUAUCUAAGUAACCAGCCAAAGAAUGAUUUUUAUCAUACUCUCCCAGUAGUGAAGAACGAAAGGAUAAAAGCUGCGAUCAUACAACGUCCUAACAGAUGGGGUGAUCAUAUAAUAAGUGACAACAACAUAGGCCUGAGCCCUAUAGCUGAGUAAGAAUAGUAGGCGAUAGUGAAUAGUACCGAGAGGGAAAGUUGAAUAAAGUAACACGGAUGUGUGGUGAAAUAGAACAUGAAACAAUAAGCAUAUAAAGAGGAGAGGUAAUUAAUGUACUGAUCCUUUACCUAUUGCAUAAUGGGUCAGUGAGUUAUUAACUUGAAGCAAGGUCAUACCGAGUGAACACAAUUUAAGUUUCAAUUAAUAGACCCGAACCCGUAGUGAACCAGCCAAGACCAGGUGAAUAGACCGAACUGGUGGAUGUUGUAAAAUCCUCAGAUGAGUUUUGGUUAGGGGUGAAAUGUUUAUCGAACACGGAUAUAGCUGGUUUUUUGCGAAACCUAUUUAAGUAGUUAUACUAUCGAUUCUUUAUCCAGUAUAGUACCAGAUUAGUCUGUUCUCAUAAAGGGAUAAUUGUAAGUAUAGUAUGUCAGAUGGUAGAUGAGAAGGUCUACUAUCAAGAGAGAAACAACUCUAUCUAUAGGUUAAAGUUCCCCAAUUGUAGCUAAGUGAAUCUAAGACAGUCGCCUGGUCAAUAUAUUCAUAAUGUAAGAAUAGUAGAUUCUAUCCUUAAGAGAGUGGAUAACACCACAAGGAAUGACUCUCUGAGUCUCAGGGUAUGUAUUGUCAUAAAUGUACGGAUCUAGUGCCUAUCAAUGAUGGGUACCGUGUUACAUACUUUAACCAUAGGCAAGUGGUGGGGUCUUGGCCCCUUCAGGUCGCACAGGUGUUCUCACCUGCUUCCACCCCCUUGCGGUAGCAAAACCGGGGGACCUAUGUCUCCCUUGAUUAUGCUGACAUGAGUAACGUAAAAUAGAGAGUACGAAUCUCUCUCCCCUCUAGCCCUAGGUUUUCGACGAUAGGCUUCAGCACGUCCGAGUUAUUUGGUACCUAACCUUUAAUUAGGGAUGGAUUCUAUGUACAACUUAUGCCAACUUGUUGGGGUUGUGAACCAGGAAAUACUAGUACCAUACUUAAACCGACUCUGGUGGGCAGUCAUGGUUUGGCCUAAUAAGCCCUACUGUGACCGGGGUACAGCUACCCAUCUAAAAGGAACUCGGCAAACUGGAAGGCGACUGUGACCUUGAAGUGCGACUAGUGAAUAUUUAAUAGUAAUGUGGUGUAAUUCCACCUUUAUCGGCUGUUAUAAAGAGUCUACCUGUACAUGCAUCCGUAAUAAGAUUGGGUGUGUGAAGCUACAGGGAAAUAUGUCAGGUACGCUUGGCAGACUAGAUACCAUGGUUAGGAACACGAAUCUGCUAUGACCUCCUAUUGGUCCUGAAUCACUCUAUGUUCGAGGGGGGUGAUUAACAGCUCUUUUGGGUCUAUAGGACUAGCAGGAACCUAAAGUAUCAUUAAGGUGCUAUUAAGUGAACUAGGUAACCUCUCUAAUCUGUGUAUGCUCGGGGGUCUCUUGGGUCUCUUGGGUCCAUCCACUAGAAAGUGAGUAAUUGCUUUUAUUUGAUUGGAGGGGGUAUGAUAGUAUAAAAAGCUAAUGCCCGGUUGUAAUGAUCGGGAUAGGAUCCUUUGAUCUGCUCCGAAAGGAGGCUGACUUAUAUAUAGGUGUCGAUAAUGAAUGAUUGUACUAGAUACAGCCCGCCAUACAUAACACUAUGGCACAAUGAACUCUAAACGUACUUGAACUAUUAAAUUUAGAUUCUAUCUAGGAUAUUUAUUAUUAAUGCUUGAGCCGUAUGCGAUGAAAGUCGCACGUACGGUUCUGAGGGGGGGAAAAUCUGUGAGGAUCUACCUAUCCCGAACUCAGUUAUAAGCAAACUUCAUAAGGAAGUAUUUAUAACGUCAUCUGCCCUAUGCUAGUAAGUGAAUGUUAUCGGUCGGCUCUGCUGAUCACAUGACCUAAGCUCUAGUCAAUGGCUGCUGUAACUGCCAGUAUACAUGGAUUUACUCUGGUUAACUAUUUGAUAAUGGCUAUGUUAAUGUCAGGCCUUCAUAUGUUUCGCUAUCUAAAAGCAAACAUUCCACUGUUUUAUCCUAGAUUCUACAGUGAUUCGAAGGUAGUUGUCUAUUGUAAGGUUAGAUUCCUUAGAUAGUCCGACCCCUGCAACUAUAGCCCAGGUCUCCCCUUAUGAUGGGGGCUGCUAUGUCCCUGAUGUUACCUCCCCGGCUCCCAUUAGGUUGCCCCUGUGACAGAGAAAGGACAGCAGACAAAGACUAUUAGCUACAAACAAUAAAUCUACGUUAGGGUUACAUUAAACUAAACUAUGUGCUGGAACCUCCUUACCUAGUGGACCCCUGUUCAACUCCGGUUGCCUGAGAACUAUGGGACCCUUGGACUUGUAUAAUAUCCACGUAUAACUUUCAUUAGUCAUCUAUCAGGUCGUCUACCAGACCAUCAGAUAAUCGGUACAGUGAAAGAUUGGACAAUCAGCAAACAACCUAGAAUCCUUUGGGAUGAUUGGGAGUAUCAGAGACUACUCGUUUAGCAGGUACAGACACUCUACUACCUGGUGAUAUAGUCCAAUUACAAUCCUGCUACUCUCACUAGUAAUCCCUACUGUGGGGUGACACUGGUCUGACGUGGCAGGUAGUCAGCUAACGGUACUAAGGUAGCGAAAUUCCUCGCGAUGCAAUUGCCGGGGACCUUAAUAACAUUGAACCCUUAUGACUAAUCUAUAGCAGAGGGUAGCCUUUUAUUAAUUGUGAAUAUCUCUAUAUGCUUAGAUAUCCUUAGAGCCCUAAAGCUGGUUUCAUACUAGUUUGGAUUGGAUAAUAGGCAGGUAACUAAGAUAUGUUCUUGGGAGCCUCAGAGACUAUAAGAGAGAAGAAGGGUGAUCCUUCUAUGAUAUAGUCCGACUACACUAGUUAGGGUCCAUAGGAUCAAUGGCUAGCAAAGGGAACUAGACCUUCUCUGUUGGUAGAAAUACUGUAGAUAAACGUGGCACUUAAUUGGUGUCCCUGCAUGAAUGGUGGAACGAUCUUCCGACUGUCUCUUAGGUGGACUGUGUGAAAUUAUAAUUCUAGUGCAAAUACUAGUAACUCUCAGAUGGACGGGAAGACCCUAUUGAGCUUCACUGUUAUGAAUUGUCGAGCAUACUAUGUUCUCUACCGAUUCAAAGACAGUUUCACUGGGGCGGUGUGCUUCUAAAUAGUAACGAAGCAUUACAAAGGUAAGAGGCAAAUUCAAUCAUACGAUAUUUGCACGGGAUGCAUUCAGUAUCCCUCUCAUAAUGGAUUGUACUUACUUGACAAGUUGGCCUACAAGCCUUCUUGGAAUCAAGGGUUAGAUAGUGAUCCUUGGUUUGUCAUAGUGAUCCGGAGGUUUAGGCCUUCGCUUAAAGAAUUAAAGCUACCAUAGGGAUAGCACCUGUUGUCCCUUACAAUCGGGUGAAUUGCAAGAACAUCCUAACCAGAAUAACAAGUUUUGGUGGACAAUUUGCAGCUAAGCUUAUAGCGGUUCUUAGAUUAAAUUAAAUCUCUGUGCUAUGAGAAAGUUCAACGACUAGAUAGUGAGUUAGCCAAACAAUAAUCUAUCCACGAGCGCCCGACAAAUUUGUAUAUAAAGAAGUACUCAGAGUACAACUGUUUGGACCCUUAGUUGCAUGGUCAUUUAGCUGUAUGGUAACUUAACUGUACCUGUGACCUGUGACCAUGUGCCCUUUGUCUAUUGACUGGGUACCUUAGCUUAGUCUCUUGACUGCUUGGUCUCUUGUCUGCUUGGUUUCCUAACGCUUUAUAGUCCAGAUUUGAUGACAUAGUCUGAACAGAGUAGUAAUACUUUGAAAUAGGCUUAAACGCUUAUUGUUAACAUAAUGAACAGGCUGGUAUAGAAUUGGAGUCCAUAUCUUAUUCUAUGUUCGGCACCUUUAAGUUAACCUUUAUUAACGAACAUAAUUCUAGGUAAGCAGACCGCUACUACCUUAAACCGUUAAUAGUAGGAACAAACAUCGGGGUGAAACUACAUUAGUAUGUUUCCUAAUCAAGCUAUAUGCUGGGACCUCCCUAAACUUAGACCUGCAAGCUCAUAGUUAGCUAGAGCACUGGUGCCCCUCACCCUGUCUCACACUAACAGAGUAUCACUAAGAUUGGACAAUCAGCAAGGCUCUUCAGGGAUAAUUCGUAUCUCUUAGGGUGCCUUCAGAGACUUUACGCUUGAAGACCUGUAUAACUCUGGGCCAUUCCUCAACGGGGGCGCCUCCAAGAGACAGGUCUAUUAUAGAGUCCGAACCGGAUUAAACGAUCAACGGUUAAAUCAAUGCGAUGUCGACUCAUCUUAUCCUGGGGCUGCAAGAGGUCCCAAGGGUGCAGCUGUUCUCUGCAUAAAAAGGUACGUGUUGCCUUAUAAAGUAAAGUUAAAUUUAGGGUACGUACUAGCAUAAAGCAACUAAUGGUUAUGAUCGCUAAUAUGAACUCUAAGCGUAAAGAUUUACUUAAGUGAGGAAUAGUAUUCCUUGCAACACAAGUGCUACGGUUAAAGGUCAUCUAUACAUCUAGAUGGUUAAGACCGUUAAUCAUGGAAGAAAUAUCCAGAUUGAAACAGACUGGUCCACUUGUGGGAAGCAUUUAGUGUUUCUUAAUGUACAGUCGGGACUAGUAGACUUAUAUAACUCCCGCCCCCCCUGUCGACCUUAGGGAUGGGGCCCUCAACUGGCAAUGGUAUACCAGAUACUGCUAUAUAAGCCCUAUUGUUUGACGUGAGUUGGGUUAACAAUUAGCCCUACAUUAUCAGUUAAUUAUAGACAAAUGGAUCGUUGAGGUCAGCAUAACGCUUAUCUCUACAGUACAAGUCAUGCACAACAGCAUGAAACAUAGAACAUAUACAAGCAAAACCCAACACCAAUCGUAGGGGGUUGCUGCAAGGCAAUCCUACGCUACCUAGGCAUUACACUUAUGAAAAACAAUCUACAUUAAAACUGGGUCUAUGGACAUGCUUAGGGAAUUGGUGUAGCCUCAUUAGCACGAAUCUAUGUAUUAUAAAGUGGGGGUGGAUAGCCCCCUUGUCGAUAGUUAACAAAUAAUAGUCUGGCCUUCUUAUAUAUAGUGCUUAGCAAUCUUGUAGAGGAUUGGCGGUACAGGUAACGAGUGAUCGCUAUCUCUAGCUAUAAACUAAUGCGGGUUAGGCAACACAAGUGAAAGACGGUUAAAACCUAAAUUAGGCAAGACCGUAGGUGUACUGUCUCUGUCUCUGCCCCCCAUGCAGCUUACCCUAGUGGAAGUAAAGGUGAGGGUCAUUGACUCAGUCAGCAUCUGUACAGACUGGAACCCUUGUGUAGGACCAAACAGGUCUGAGUAAUGUACAGUCGGAAAUCAACAAGAAUCAGACCCGAGCUGGCCCCUGCUCCCUCAACAGGGCUAUGGGGCAGUACGGGAGGCAACCUAGGAUGCCUAAGAUAUCUAGCAAUUAGGUGGCAUGGACAGUUUGAGUAUAGCCAGGUCCACCAAUUUAGAUUUUGUAAGAUCGUCGUGAGACAGAUCGGUCCCUAUCUCCUGAGAGGUUAGUAAGAAUAAGAUCGAGGAUCAUGGUACGAGAGGACCUGAUUAUAUAAACCACUGGUUAACAUGGUAAAUCCAUCCAAGCUAAGUUUAUCCCAGUUAACUCCUGAAAUCAUCUUAAGGAGGAAACACGGUCUGUUUAAGGCUUACUCAUAAUGAAGGAGAUAGAACAUCUCCUCGGAUUUGCACCAGGCACUCUUCUACUUACGGGCCCAGCUUCGGCUAGGCUACUAACUGGUGUAUCCAGGUUC
rnacentral:rRNA from 1 species